rnacentral:misc_RNA from 1 species
AAAGUCGUAACAAGGUUUCCGUAGGUGAACCUGCGGAAGGAUCAUUACCACAUCCAAAACUUUAUAAACCCACAAGUGUGAAGUUGUGAAAGAGAGCUUCUUCUCCUUUUUGGAGGAAAAAAAAAAGGAAUGCUCUCUGUAACUAAACUUUUUUUUAAAUUUUGAACCCCUUUUGAACUUUUUUUUUGAAGAAUAAGCAAGACUAAAAAACAAAAAAAUGAGAAAAGAGAAAAACAACUUUUAACGGUGGAUCUCUUGGCUCGU